rnacentral:rRNA from 1 species
GACCAAGGAGUCUAACAUGUGCGCGAGUCGUAGGGUUACGCUCAAAGCCCGAAGGCGCAAUGAAAGUGAAGGUCGGCCUCGAUUGCCGUUACCUAGGCGGGAUCCGUUCGGGCUUACCGGUCGUUCGCGGCUGAGCCCGGCGGCGCACCGCCGGCCCGUCUCGACCGCAUCGCCGGUGAGGCGGAGCGAGAGCGUACACGUUGGGACCCGAAAGAUGGUGAACUAUGCCCGGGCAGGACGAAGCCAGAGGAAACUCUGGUGGAGGUCCGUAGCGAUUCUGACGUGCAAAUCGAUCGUCGGACC